GCUGGGUGUGGUGGUGCACACCUGUAAUCUCAGUGACUUGAGAAGCUAAGGCAGGAAGAUCCCAAGUUUGGGCCAGCCUCAGCAAGUUUAGGACCUAAGCAACUUAGUGAGACCCUGUUUCAA
rnacentral:sRNA from 1 species